GCCUCUGGAAUAGAGAUGCAAAAAAAGACAAAAGGAAACAAUUAGAGCAGCCAUGAGGAUCCAGGCUCUGCAAGUUACUCUCCAGCAGAAGGGUUUAAAUGACAGUUGGUGUCUGAACGGAACUGAGAACUGAGGCCUAAGCUGAGUGUCCAGACUCAUGGGAAGCCCGAGGUAGGCCUGCUGACUGGCAGCCCCCACCCUACAAGGAAGAGAAAAUUCGAAGGCCGAUUCCUUAACAAUACCAUGAAUUGGGCAGUAGUCAUUCGCAAGUGUCAUUAGCAUCUAUGGUCUGGGUUCAAGAGAACGAGACAGGGCUAAAUUCAGAUUUCUUACUUUGAACCUCUCCGAGGGUUCAAGAGAGAGAAAGUCUUCCUUUCACACAGGCAACCUAUGGAAGCAGGCACAGAAGAUUAGAAGGCAGAAUGCUACAGAACUGCUCCCAGAGGGUCACAUAUACCCAGCAUAUCAGCUGUCGGGCCAUUGAUUUCCAGUCCAAGUAACAAGUGUGUGACAGAGACCUCAGGCUUCAGUGGGAUCCACUAAAGUCCCACUGCACUGAGGGACACACGAGGUUUCUAGACCGUGAGCUCUUGGUAACUGCUGAGCUUGCUCCUACCCUUAUUAGGCAACUGCUGAAGAAAAAUUUGUGAGCCACCAGUACUCCAGCCAGGGAGGUGUUACCUCUGGGGCUGGGAUUAGUCAGUCACUGGGCUUCGGAAAGCAUUCUGGGCUGGGUAUGUUACCCAUCCUGUCUCCAGUCUUUUCUAACCCAGGGGAUAAUAGGCUACAAGGCUGAAGUCUCCUCCUUCCUGCCUGGGGCAAGAAAUGACAUUACUUCAUGUGACCACUCAGCCCUGCUUCUCGAUGCACUGGAGCCGCAUGCCACCCCACACCUUCUGAUGAGUGGUGCACUGAGAUUCAUUAGCAAGAACCCCACAUAAGGAGAAAACCCUUGAGCUAGGUCACCAAAGCUUGACAGCUGCCCCAUUAGUCUUUCAGUUCUGUCUAAGGAACUCCUUCCUACCUCUCCUGGUGUAUUGAAAAAGGGGUUCAUUUCCGGACCAUCGGGGAAGGGGGCAACUCUGCCUAUGUAGGUGACAGAGGAGGUCAUCUUUGCAAUUAUGGAAGGAAUCUGUCCCCGAGUCCUCCCAAACCAUAGAUGUCUCUGAAACUGGAUGAGGCACAGGCAAUAAAGCAUGCUGGGAAAUGGAGAAAAGGGGGCAGGGGGCUCCGACUUAGGCCUCCAGGUUGGGGCAGCACUGCAGACAGACUGCCUGGAGUAAUAAAUGACAUGGACCACUCAACUGGAAUAGCUUAGGAGAGCAGACGUGCAUGUCCUUCUCUGUUCUGUGCUUUGAUCUGGGCCAAGGGUUUUUGCUUUAGGGCAGGUUGUUAGUACCUGAGGGUGACAGAGAAGAGCAUCUGGGCAGGUCAGAUGGCAUCUACGGGAUACACCAGACUAGAAUCUGAAAGCUGCUACUUAGCUCGCCCCCUCCCCCACCUCCC